GAUGAACGCUGGCGGCGUGCCUAAUACAUGCAAGUCGAGCGGACAGACGAGGGGCUUGCUCCUCUGACGUUAGCGGCAGAGGUGUGUAUCACACGUGGAUAAUGUACCUAUAAGAGUGGGAUAACUUCGGGAAGCCGGCGCUAAUAGCGUAUAAUAUAUUGAACCGCAUGGUUCAAUAGUGAAAGACGGUUUUGGUGUCUCUGAUAGAUGGAUCUGAGCCGCAUUAGCUAGUUGGGAAGGUCACGGGUUACCAAGGCAACGAUGCGUAGCCGAACUGAGAGGGUGGUAGGCCACACUAGAACGGAGCCAGCGUCCAGAGUACUACGGGAGGCAGCAGUAGGGAAUGGUACGCAAUGGGCGAGAGCUUGGCGGAGCAGCGCCGAGUGAGUGAUGACGGUCUUGGGAUCGGAAAACUCUCUUAUUAGUGAAGAACCACUGUCUAAGUAACUAUGGCCGUCUUGACGGUACCUAAUCAGAAAGCCACGGCUAACUACGUG
rnacentral:rRNA from 1 species